UCUGGCCGUUGACUCAGCAGCAGGUAGUGGUUUGUGUAGUGACAGAGUGAGUGCGGUCCAGGCGGUGCUGGGGUUGGGGCUCGGGUUCCCGUUCCCGGGUGUUGUGGCGGCCCAUCAGUGCUCCGGCUCUGCCGGUUGCGGUGAGUAGUGAUUUGGGCACGCACGAUCUCUCUUUGUCUAUGUCCUGAGGGACCGUCUCCGCCCUGACUCGGGUAAAAGUAGUGGUGGGAUUCUCGUGGAUGGCGCCUGGAGGAGUGGAAGUCUGUCCCGUCCGUGUGUCCCGUCCCCCCCUGCUCAGGGGGAAGCGGCUUACCCGCGCUCUGCCUUGUUUUAGGGGCUGUGCUGCCCUCCGAAUAAAUCCCCGAAAUGUGAGGCAGUAGCCUAACGACCGUCACUGGUACCCUUCGGUUGUGGGGUGUACCGUGUUCUGUCACCCCGCGGCCUGAGGUGGCUCCGAGACUGGGAUGCCCUCCUCUUGCCCUCUCCCUCUGCGUGGCCUCGGGUCUGAAACGUAGCCGGCCCUCUAUGCCCAAGGAGCCCAGCUGGUGUUUUGCUUGAGUUUCUGAUCUCUUGCGCUUAGGAGACUAUAGUACGUUUUCCUCGCUUUCUACAUUCUUAUGAGAGCUUCUAGCAAGGUACUUUGUCUUGUGGCUCCUUUCUCUCAACUUCUUCUGGAACAAGUAUGUAAUCUGUACAGCUGAACUGCAAAUAGCCUGUGCGCUACGUGAAUGAAAAUAGCUGGUUUAGUUUGGAAAUACAGUACAUUAUUGGAAAUCGUGAACAAAAAUAUUUUUUUCCUAUUCCCUGCUGCAUCUGUUGAAAGACAUGCUUUCUUAAGCUUUUUUGAUAAAAUGAGACUAAUUUUUUUUUUUCUUCUCUUCUAAUGUAUGAUUUGAGUUUAAGUAGGUAACUAUUUAAGGCCUGUUCCUCCUUCUGUUGAAAUCACUGGCAAAAAUCUCAUUGAAUUAAACACUACAAGACGAGAUAACUAGUGUCUAAUCUUGCAUUUGUUGGCAAGUAGUUCAGUUGAGGUACUUCAACGAACUUUUUAAUAAUGAUUGUAAAUUUAGUUUAAUAGCUUGAAACCCGUAAACCAAAUUUGUCAUCAGUGUAGGUUGAUGCUAGAUAUGAUGAUGUACUGUAAAGCAAAUAUGCCAAAGAAUGAAGUUAAUGUGGUGUGGUGGUGCAUUUCUUUCCCCCUCUCCAGGCUAAUUUACGAACUCAGGAAGGCUUGCUAGGCCUUAGCAUAAGUGUAAUGAGUCGGGCAGUUAAGCGACCCUUGACUGUGCCAGGAACUCUUACACAGCUAAGACAGGGAGAUAUGCUGUGCAUCUCAAGGACUCCUGCUGCCUGGCGGAGGCAGGGGAAUGGGAGUAGAGAUAGCCAGUUCUCAUAACAACCUGCAGCCAGUUCUUUCUCAUAACAACCUUGAGACAUUACAAUCCUCCCUUGACAAUCUUGGAGCAUCUCAUAUCUAUGUUUUGAGUUAUUCUCCAACAGUCUUGGAAUUUUCCAGUGCAGCUGGUAUUCUAGAAAUUUGUUGAUGAUGAAAGUCAAUCAUCUCCUGAACCUAUAAACAGCAGUACUAAGUGAGGCCCUUUGAGCUCUCCUGGACUGCAGCAGGCUGCGACCACAUCUCCCUCUGAGUGGGACGCCUCUCAUCAGAGCUCGCAAACAUUCCAGUUUGUGAAAAUUGGAGGUCUGUCGCCAAAAGCCGACAUGACCUGGGCUGAUUCUCUUCGCUCCUUGAGGCUUGACCCUUCGCCCGUUGAGACAAAUGCUGAAGCAUUCGACGUGAAUAUUUUCACUGACCUCGAGGGGAAUUUUUAACAGG